CUGUGGCUACCAGGCAGAGCGAGAAGUCCAAACAUGGCUGCCAAGGGGCCAGCCUCCCGAGGGCCCGGCCUCCCCGUGUGAGGCAUGGGCUGGGACAGGUGAGAGGCCUUCUGCAGAGAAUCGGGGCCCAGCAGAGAGGACGCAGAACCCGCUCAGCUCUCCUGUGGGGACAGGUUCCUUGGCCACCAGGUAGCCCUGGUGGCUGGAGCCCACCGUGGCCUCUGGCACAGGGACAGAAGCCAGCCUCACCUCCGUCGGUGUCCCAGUCCAGACCCCUCGGUGUGAAGAAUCUGCAGCGGAGCAGCCGGUCUUGUCGCCAUGCUCAGCAGUCUCCGGAUUCUGUGAUGGGCAUCAGCGUGGAAGUCCUGCCCGGUUCCAGUUCUGCUUUACACUGCAGCGCACUUUCGGCCGGAAGGCUUGUGUUUCCAUGUCGUUCAAAGGCCGUUCCAAACUCCACUGAGGGCGCAUGGAUGGUUUCAGAUAGGUCACCAGUGCCUUUUAUUUUAUCUACUUAUUUUUAAAUGCACUAGGAAAAAAAAAAAAAAAAA